rnacentral:rRNA from 1 species
CAGUCGCCGCGGUAAGACAGAGGAUGCAAGCGUUAUCCGGAAUGACUGGGCGUAAAGCGUCUGUAGGUGGCUUUUCAAGUCCGCCGUCGAAUCCCAGGGCUCAACCCUGGACAGGCGGUGGAAACUACCAAGCUGGAGUACGGUAGGGGCAGAGGGAAUUUCCAGUGGGGCGGUGAAAUGCGUUGAGAUCGGAAAGAACACCAACAGCGAAAGCACUCUGCUGGGCCGACACUGACACUGAGAGACGAAAGCUAGGGGAGCAAAUGGGAUUAGAUACCCGCGUAGUCCCUGUCUCUUAUAC